UACAUGGGGUGCAAACGUUGCUCGGAAUUAUUGGGCGUAAAGCGCGCGUAGGCGGUUACUCAAGUCGGAUGUGAAAGCCCUCGGCUUAACUGAGGAAGUGCACCCGAAACUGAGUAGCUAGAGUACUAAAGAGGGUCGCGGAAUUCCCGGUGUAGAGGUGAAAUUCGUAGAUAUCGGGAGGAACACCGGUGGCGAAGGCGGCGACCUGGGUAGAUACUGACGCUGAGG
rnacentral:rRNA from 1 species